rnacentral:rRNA from 1 species
AUGAGUUGUGUCGAAGAGCUUGUUCAGAGUCCAGUGCUGGGCCGGGUCGAACUCCCACAAGUUGAAAGCCCGUUGUUGUCACGGGAGGAUCCGGCAGAUGAGCAUGACCUGGACUACGUUGACGAGUUUGAGCUUCUUGUUCACCAUGUUUUGAAUACAUGUUUGGAGUCCAGUCAACUCUCCCGAACUGCCCCAGGACAUGCCAUUCUCUUGCCAGGAGGUGAGCCGCGUGGGGAUGCCAGAUCGGAACUCGGGGGCCGCUGCCUAUUUAGGGUCACGCCGCUCGAUGAUGUAAAACCAUCCCGAUUGCCACCCCUUUAUGGUCUCCACGAAGGAGCCCUCGAGCCAUGUGACGUUGGGCAUCUUGCCCACCAUGGCGCCUCCGCACUCCGCCUGGCGGCCGCUCACUACCUUCGUCUUGACAUUGAAGGUCUUCAGCCAUAA